rnacentral:rRNA from 1 species
GUGGGGAAUCUUAGACAAUGGGGGAAACCCUGAUCUAGCCAUGUCGCGUGAGCGAUGAAGGCCUUAGGGUUGUAAAGCUCUUUCAGAUGGGAAGAUAAUGACGGUACCAUCAGAAGAAGCCCCGGCUAACUCCGUGCCAGCAGCCGCGGUAAUACGGAGGGGGCUAGCGUUGUUCGGAAUUACUGGGCGUAAAGCGCACGUAGGCGGACCAGAAAGUCAGAGGUGAAAUCCCAGGGCUCAACCUUGGAACUGCCUUUGAAACUCCUGGUCUUGAGGUCGAGAGAGGUGAGUGGAAUUCCGAGUGUAGAGGUGAAAUUCGUAGAUAUUCGGAGGAACACCAGUGGCGAAGGCGGCUCACUGGCUCGAUACUGACGCUGAGGUGCGAAAGCGUGGGGAGCAAACAGGAUUAGAUACCCGUGUAGUCC